UACGUAGGUGGCCAGCGUUGUCCGGAUUUACUGGGCGUAAAGAGCGCGCAGGCGGUCGUUCAAGUCGAGUGUGAAAGCCCCCGGCUCAACUGGGGAGGGUCACUCGAUACUGAUCGACUUGAAGGCAGGAGAGGGAAGCGGAAUUCCCGGUGUAGUGGUGAAAUGCGUAGAUAUCGGGAGGAACACCAGUGGCGAAGGCGGCUUCCUGGCCUGUUCUUGACGCUGAGGCGCGAAAGCUAGGGGAGCAAACGGG
rnacentral:rRNA from 1 species